AUGAUGAAAUGCUCUAGAGUUUUAAUAGUGACUCUGUGGCUUCAGUUAACCUGUGUGAGGAGCCAACAGAAGGCAGUGGAGCAGAGUCCUGGAUCUCUGCGUGUUCCAGAGGGAGAUGUUGCCUCUCUCAACUGCACUUAUAGUGACAGCGCUUCCCAGUACUUCAUGUGGUACAGACAGUAUUCUGGGAAAGGCCCUGAGUUGCUGAUGUACAUAUACUCCAGUGGUGACGAGGAUGAAGGAAGAUUUACAGCGCAUCUGAAUAAAGCCGGCCAAUAUGUCUCUCUGCUCAUCAGAGAUUCCCAGCCCAGUGACUCAGCCACCUACCUCUGUGCAGAUCAAUACCAUGUAGUACAGAAGGUGACAUCAUCACAGAUCAGGAAGGAAGAUACACAUUCUGUUGAAGUUUUGAUUAUCACCUAUCUGAAAUGA